UAGCUUGAUCCUGGCUCAGAUUGAACGCUGGCGGCAUGCUUUUACACAUGCAAGUCGAACGGUAACGCGGGGGCAACCCUGGCGACGAGUGGCGAACGGGUGAGUAAUACAUCGGAACGUGCCCAGUAGUGGGGGAUAGCUCGGCGAAAGCCGGAUUAAUACCGCAUACGACCUACGGGUGAAAGCGGGGGAUCGCAAGACCUCGCGCUAUUGGAGCGGCCGAUGGCAGAUUAGCUUGUUGGUGGGGUAAAGGCCUACCAAGGCGACGAUCUGUAGCUGGUCUGAGAGGACGACCAGCCACACUGGGACUGAGACACGGCCCACACUCCUACGGGAGGCAGCAGUGGGGAAUUUUGGACAAUGGGCGCAAGCCUGAUCCAGCAAUGCCGCGUGUGUGAUGAACGCCUUCGGGUUGUAAAGCACUUUUAGUGGGAACGAAACGGUCCGGGCCAAUACCCUGGACUAAUGACGGUACCCGCAGAAUAAGCACCGGCUAACUACGUGCCAGCAGCCGCGGUAAUACGUAGGGUGCAAGCGUUAAUCGGAAUUACUGGGCGUAAAGCGUGCGCAGGCGGUUUUGUAAGACCGAUGUGAAAUCCCCGGGCUUAACCUGGGAACUGCAUUGGUGACUGCAAGGCUUGAGUGUGUCAGAGGGAGGUGGAAUUCCGCGUGUAGCAGUGAAAUGCGUAGAUGUGCGGAGGAACACCGAUGGCGAAGGCAGCCUCCUGAGAUAACACUGACGCUCAUGCACGAAAGCGUGGGGA
rnacentral:rRNA from 1 species